rnacentral:rRNA from 1 species
GACGAACGCUGGCGGCGUGCCUAAACAUGCAAGUCGAGCGGGGUUGAGGCGAGAGGUAACUCGAACUUCUACCUAGCGGCGGACGGGUGAGUAACGCGUGGGCAACCUGCCUCAAGGUUUGGGAUAACAGCCCGAAAGGGCUGCUAAUACCGGAUAUGCCUAUGGCCUCGCAUGGGGCUAUGAGCAAAGGGGAAACCCGCCUUGAGAUGGGCCCGCGUCCCAUCAGCUAGUUGGUGAGGUAACAGCUCACCAAGGCGACGACGGGUAGCCGGCCUGAGAGGGUGACCGGCCACACUGGGACUGAGACACGGCCCAGACUCCUACGGGGGGCAGCAGUGGGGGAUCUUGCACAAUGGGCGAAAGCCUGAUGCAGCGACGCCGCGUGAGCGAAGAAGGCCUUCGGGUUGUAAAGCUCUGUCUGGAGGGACGAACAAAAUGACGGUACCUCCGGAGGAAGCCACGGCUAACUACGUG